CUAACCGCAGUCAACUACUUGGAAGUCCAGUGUCGUAACCAUUACACCAUCUGCUGGUCCCUAUUUUGGAUUUUUUUUUUUUUAAUACAAAUGAAAUACAUUAGAGGAAAUCAGCAGAGUUUUACCUUUGGGGUUAGCACAGGUACAGAGGCUGUGAAGGGCCUUGCUCUAAAGACAGACAGUAAGUUGCAUGACUGUCACAAGAACAGGGAAGUAAGGGGACCAAGCCCAGGCACUGUAGAGGCAGGAGGACUUGAGGAACUCAAGUGUUCCUGUGUGGAGACAGUGAGACUGCUGGGCAGAUGCUGGGCCAGCGUGGUACCCGCUGUCCACAACGUUCAGCUUCCCGUGCUCUUACAAGGUGGGGAAGUGCCACAGCAGGUUUACAUCCGUGCCCCUGGCAUUUUGGUGGCUCUCAGAGGAGAGACGGAGCAAGUACCAGACCCAGGAACAGCCAAGGGUAUGCUAGAAGACAGGCGGGACAAACGGGGGCCCGCUGAAAACACCUCUUUUCCACUUAGGACUGGAAAUGUCCCCAACACAUCAAGUGAGAUUUUUAACAGACCCAACAAAUAUGAUACAAUUAAAUACAUAUUUUCCAAAUGUCACAACUGCUUUUCUAGAAGAGUUUGUUGUUUCUUCAUCUGCUUAGGGGAAAGAAAACCAGGCAGUAGACUCUGAGACUUGUAGGCUCCAUUACUGUUUUGUGCUAAGCCAGCACCAUCUCGUACUAAAUUCUGGUAUAGACUAGCAGUUUUCACCACAAGGUAGUUCCAGCUGAGUCUCAUGACACACAAGGAGAAGACCAGCGUUACUCUAUUUUGGCAGCAGACAUUUUCAACACACCUCACAAAGCCGAGUCCCAGACCCAGAUGUGUGAGGAGAGCUGGAGUGGGUAUGACGCCGACCUCACGAGGUCUCUUGCAACCAUUGCCCUAGGGAUGCCUCAGCAAACGCACCAAGAAGAAUUCAAAGGAUUCCAGGACAGCACUGUUUGCAAUGGCCAGAAAACACUAGGAAUGACCCUGAAGCCAUCCACAGGAAAAUGGUUAAAAUAACUACCACUUACACAGUAUGCAUCACAUGAUUCCAUAUUAGGGCAGUUAGUAAUAGGAUAAAGUUGCUUAUGUUCUGGGAUGGAAAAUGUCUGAAGAGAUAUAAAUGAAGUUGUCAUUAGGAGUUAUCUGGUGGUUAGAGAAUUACAUAAAAGAACUUUUCUGUGUGGUCUUUUUCUGUAGUAUUUACAUUUUAAACACCAGACUAGUGAUUUAUAAAUUCUGCCACAAACAUAUACUCUACAGUCCCAUCUGCUACAACAGUAUGCACUAUAAAAACAUUAAGCAUAGACUUACCUAAACUGAAAAACUGUGGUCCCUUCAGGAGAGCUGGGCCAUGCAGGGAUACGCAGAGAAAGAAGCUGCAGUGUGACUCAGAGCAGAGCACUAGGUUGGGCAUCCUCAGCAGUCUCAUAACGUGAGAAUUUAAAAAGCUACAUCUUGGAAAAACUGUCCAUUAUGUUCCUUGGAUCUGGGACUCCUAUCAGCAUUCGGUCCAUAGAUGUCAAAUUCACACACAGAUGACAAGACUCUAUUGUGCCAAUCAAAGUCUCAGUGGGACACUGUGCAUACUUGACAGAUCAAAGAAAGCAACUGGCAGAAGUUCAACAGCUCCGCACACCGAGCUGAGCCGUGGAAGAGGAUAGGGCAGACAGACACUCUCAUACUCAGGUAUGCAGUUUGUGCGCUCGCUCUGAGGGCGACAGAGCAGAAUGUAUGACCCAGCAACUCCACCUCUGGGUACCUGCCCUAAGAAACGCUCAUUCAUGUACUGUGCACAAGUGGUUGUAUAUGAUGAUCACACAGCACUGUGUGUAAUACCAAAAAACUAGAAAUAGCAUACAUCUUCAUCGAUGGCAGACUGGUUAAAGAACUCAUGCUAUACCCAGGGUAAGACAGACUAUGCAACGGUUUAAAAGGAUGAGAGCAGUUCUAUAUGUAUUCACAUUAAGUUCACUAUUAUUAAAUGAAAAAAAAAAUAAAGUCAAUAAUAACAUAUAGUAUAUCAUAAUAUUUUAUCAUUUACAUAGAGAGGAUAAAGAAAACAAUGUGAUACCUCUUUUAAGAGGAAUAUAAACGAGCAGAAAAAGGUCUAGCAGGAAACAGCACAUAGGUAACACCAGGUAGGGAGGGGAUUGCCAACACUGUCAGUCCUGUUUUCAUUCUGCAUAAUAAGAAAGCAUCCGCUUAUCACUUUUAACUGAGUACUGCAGAAGAGAUGCCACCAGCUGCCCUCGAUGGAGAACUGAGUUAACUGUGUUAAAGUCACAUGACAGACUCAGGCAAGCAAACCAAAUGAACUGUACACCAGGCCAAGGAGGCAUUUCGACAUCAUACUAAAUAAGAAUAUUUUAGAAGAUGACAUUCAACAUAAUAACUUUUCUAUAAAGUUAAAAACUUGUUAAAAUAUAUUUUGAAAAACACACUCAGGAAAAAAAAAAUUUUUUAAAGCUUUAUGAAAAAGAAGCAAGAGAAAGACAAAGCCCGGAUUCAGGAUGAUGGUUACCUCAGCUCACAGGGAGGAAACCACAGAGGUAGGGGGAAGUUUUUACAUUGGAUAGGAGAUUCAGAAAUGCUUACCACAUUCUUAAAAACAAUCGAAAAAGAAAAUAAAAUAGGGUCAUACUAAAACAUGAACCAAAGAGUAGGUUAACCCAGUUUUGUGUACUCAAGUCCCAACAAGAAGAAUAUUCCUGCCUUAAGAGGAGUAUCCUAGCUCUUGCUUACUACAACAGUGGAUAGUGGCAGUCAUUAAAAGUCAUUGCAUUUGAUUAGAAACAACACAACAAAAACUAGAGCCCAAAAUUUCCAGAAAUAGAUCUAGGCAGAUCAGUAUUAUAAGGAGCUAAUACUGACUGACAUGUAGCAAAAGAGGAAAGAGUAUUUACUCAAUAAAAGCUUGCUAUUUCAAAGUUAGCUGUGUAAAUAGCUUAAGUGAAGAGUAUUUAUUGUAAUAGUGAAAAUACAUACUUUUUUUAAAGAAUUAUUUUAUUUAACUUUACUUAUUUUAAUUUGACGAGAGAGAGAGAGAGAGCGAGCGCAAGCCAGCUGCCAGGUCUGGGACUCGAACCAUGAUUGGCCAUGUGGAAGUCCAGUGCCCUUAACCACCAUGCCACUUGCCAGCCCCACAGACACAUUUUUAGCUACUAAAGAAUAGGUAACUAGAAGCAAAUCCAAUAGACUUAUCAGUUAUUAUUACUAGCCAUCUUAGACUAAUUUUUAAAGUCCUUGCAUGAUAGUUUCUUUUUUGCACCAAUAAAAAAAAAAAAUAUAUGUUUGAUUACCGUAACUGGCAUAAAGCUAACGUUCCCACUAUACAAAAAAUCAUUAUCAUUAUAAAAGUCAAUAUAGAAAUUUCACAUGGUAAGAGGUCAGAGAGGGAAAAAUCCAUAUGGUAUAUCAAGUAAUACAGUGGGGCUAACUGAUAAUUAGAGAAAUAUAGACGACAACAACUAAAAUACUUUAAGAAGAAGAAAUAUUUUAUAACAUUUCACUUGGCAAGGAUUUUUUGACACCAAAUGCAUAGGUAUGACCCCAAUAAACACGAAAAUAAAAUACAUCAAAACUAAAAACAUGCAUCAAAUGACAUAAUCAACAGUGAAAAAGCAGCCUGAUAGGAUGGUAGAAAAUAUUUCAAAUCAUAUGUUGGAUGAGAGGGUUAGUAUCCAGAAUAAACUCCUCGAGUCAACGACAAGACACUUCAAUUUUUAAAAUGGGUAAAAGAGACUAGAAUACACAUUUUUCCAAAGAAGAUGUACAAAUGUCACUGAGCAUAUGAAAAAAUGUUUGACGUCAUUAAUCACUAGUGAACUACAAAUCAAAACCACAAAGAAAUAACGCCACACACAUUAGGAUGGCUACUGUUAAAAAGGAAAAAAAGGCAGAACAGGGUUGGCAAGGACGGGAAAACUUGAACCCAGGUGCACUGUUGGUGAGAAUUCAAAUGGUACGCCUGCUACGAAAAACAGUGUGGCAGUUUCUAAAAAAAUGAGAAAUACCGUAUGGUUUGCCAAUAUCACUUGUAGCUAUGUAUCCAAAAGAACUGAAAGCAGCAUUUCAAAAAGAUAUCUGUACACUCACAUUCACAGCAGCAGUAUUCACAACAGCCAAGAGAGGACACACACCAGCUUUUCCAUGAGAGACGAGGAGAUAAACAAAAUACGAUAUACACAAACAAUGGGAUAUUACUCAGCUCCCGUGAAAAGGAGGUUCUGACACACUGUAAUGACAUAGAUGAACCUAUGUAUUCACAGAAACGUGAAUGCACUUAACACUACCAAACUGCACACUUCGAAAUGGUUACGGUAGUAAAUUUUAUGCAUGUAUUUUACCAUACAAUAUUUUUCAACUAGCCACAAGUACAAUGGAAAAAACCUGACAUUAGUGACUACGUGGGGAAAUGGGUAUAUAAUCAUAAGAAGUAUACAUACGUUUUCUGGAGGAGAAUCAUGCGUCUGUGAUGAGAGCUAUAACAAACCAUGUAUGCUCAAUGACCAGGGACUAGUACUCCGGAGAAUAUGUAUGUAUGCCAAAUUUAUAGAUGCUCACCGCAGCAAAAUUUAAAAUUGUCAAAACACUGUUUUAACAGCGUAACAGACUGGCUGAAUGAAUACCCUGUAGUAUAAGCACAGUGGGACUGAACAGUGACAUCAUUCACUUAUGAUCUUUUUCAAUCACGCAUCUCUUUGCCAAACUGGUGAGAGUUGUGCUUUCCACAGGAAAACACACACAUACACCUCAGACAGAGCAUGCAGACUUCUGGAUGCCAAUCCAUGGAGUUCUUUGGGGAGCAUUAACGACCCUAAGAAAAGCCACUUCAAAAGUGUUUGUGGACUCUGCUGAUACAGGGAAAUGUUAGUGAAAACAAAAUUAAAUAUAAAAAUAGAACAGACAGAAUAUGCACGGGUUCUCACUGCCUUAAGCAGCCCAGAGCGAGGUGGGCAGGCAGGUAGAGAAUGGGGAGAGGGAGUCAGGAGGAAAUGGCUAGACCUAAUGCUGGGCAACGAAGAACAGAAAGAGAGAGAGGAGACAUCACUGGAAGCGCUCGAUAAAACAUAGCUGUGUGCCAAACACAUACGUUCAUUUACCCCCGUCUCACAGAUGAGGAAAACAGGUUCAGAGAGGUUAAGUAACUUGCUCCAGUCAAAAGUGGCCAAGCAGUCAGGAUUAGAACCUAGACCCAUUGCCAUGGGUCCAAACCAGUCAGAUGAGGAAGGAGGAUUCUAAGAGAAUCCCAUUCUGGAGAACACACUGACCUGCCCCCAAGGUCUUCUCCAGUGAACUAUCCCUUUGUGACAGCCCUCAUGCAGACAAACUCUGCCAUUCUAUUGUCCCCUUUGGCCCCGGGAAAGCAGGCACUGGGAGAGAGUAAGGCCUGGGGGCUCUGAGAGGCCGUGGGUCCCCCACUUCCAGACUCCAUAAUAAACGCCAGUUGGAGCACAGGUUUAAAGGCAAAACACGGAAACGCACACAUGUCAUGAGAAAAUACAGAUUAAUAUUUAGAUAUGGUAGGGGGAUGGGAACAUAAACAUCACAGUUGAACAUGGUGAUAAACCUCAUAAAAAUUGUAUACUUCUUGUAUCUGACACAUAAUACAAAUUAAAAGGCAAUCAAGUGCCAGUUCCGUGGCAGAGAAGUAACAAGGAAAGCCAGAUCCCACAACGCAACUGUCGUUCAAAUCCCCAGCACCGUCAGCCAGAAACGUGCUAUGCACAUGCUUGCGUGUACAAAAUCCGAGGGAUAAAGGACUGGAGGAAGGGAUGUCACAGCGUGACCAGGCCUGGCGGAGAGUGACGUUUUCACUCUCUCUCAUGUGUGCAUACAUGCACUCUACUAUGAAGAAAGGAAAAAUAUAUGCAUGUCAGCUCUAAUAGGAUUACUAAUAUCUUUAAUAUGUAAAUAGAUUUGACAAAACCACCAGUGGAAAAUGAGCAAUUAGGAAGCGGAAAAUCAUACACACACACACACACCACACAAACGUUCAGUCAACAUGUGGGAAGGAUGUUCGAUAUCCAGCAGGCGAAACCAGGCUCCUGUCCACAGGUAAAGUAGGCUACACAGACAAAGUAUAGAUGAACAGAUAUGCCAGAAACAAAGGUUUUCCAUAUAAUGAUAUGCGUUCUGAGGAAAAGGGAGUAAGAGUCAGAUUUGCCUCACUAGUGAGACCACUAAAGUAGAAAAUCACAUUGGGCAAUAUGGACCUAAAGUCGUAAGAGGCUUGAUACAGUCAUUUCCUUCUAUAAAUGUAUUUGUAUAUUCCGAGGAAACAAACGUGAUUAAGUUUGAGCUACCAAGAAGGUCAUCACUACCAAGAAGGCAUUAUUUCCUAAGAGGAAAAUCCUGGGAAAUAACUUGUAUGUCUACUAAACAAGAGCGUUUAAAAUGAUAUAGCCAUACAAUGGAACACGAUGCCACCACUGAAAAGAUGCUUACGAAUGACAAAAACAAGGGGUUCACUGUGUAUUAAAAGAGUUGUGAAACAGAAUUGCCAAUAUCCCAUUUUUUAAUAAAAAUGCACUCAUUCUAUGCAACAAGGAGUAGUGGGAAGGGGGACUCCUGAAGUGAAUAGACCAAUCAUUAAUGGAAGUUUUUUUCCUCAGGUUUCUCACAUGCAAACCAGUAAAUCAUUUUUACACAGGGGAACUCAAUGGAGAAUUUUUUAAAAGAAAAAAUAAAUAAGUCCAAGGCUGAAGGGCCUGGGAGGUGCCAGCCCUCAGCAGGUACAGGCCAGGAGCUAGGAUUCACUCAGGCAGAGUCCUCCUUGGGACUUGAACCUUCACAUCUUUUUGGUUUUCAUUUUACUAUCUUUCCCUUGUCAUUUCCAGCCUACAGCAGUAUAGUUUUGUGUCAUGAAUGUGAAAAAGGUCAACACACCAUAAAUACCUAUAAGCCUGCUUUGGCAUUUCCACAUGCGUUACUAGCACCACACUGUAAGGAAUUCUAUGAAAGGCCAGGCAAAGGUUAACGCCUCCUCCAGAGACUCCGCUUACACACACAGAAGUUGGUCCUGAUAUUAAAGUACCUUGGAGUCUCGGAAGCCACAGUGGGUAACACAAACCAAGGGCAGCCAGUGAGGCCAGUUACUGCCAACCGUCUGUUUGUACCAUACGUCAUUUCUGUGUCCAACCCAGGCUUAUGGAAAAGCCUUAGCCAACACUCACUGCCAGGCUAGCUUCCUUUUUAAAAAAGCUUCCCGUUGAAUUUCGGCUAUUCUUAUGCUCCACUACUUUAAAUUUGCACAAGAUCACUACGAACCCACUUACUGAGUUCCACAUAUCAUCCCCUGCCCCCUGGAAGGGCUGAAUUCAGACCGAUGCACGAGGAAGGUAGCAUCACCAGCGUCAUCAACACCAGAGCCUGCCUACUGUACCUGAAGGUGGUGAGUUCACCCUCCAGCUGCCGGCCUCAUUCCGUAACCAUCUCAUAGCCCCAUUUCAUAACCACUUGAAAUAUCAAUCAUUUAUACUUCCGUAGAUGAAUUAUUUUUUCAUAAGCCACAGUUGUUGGGAAACAGAGUAUGACAUCCAUGGGGCACUUUCAACCAUUAUCUCAAGGUAGGGAGCAAGAGUUUUUCAAUCAUCACAGAAAAGGGAGAAACAGAGUCCUGAAAAGGACAAGGCAGGUAGAAGGGAGUUGGGAUAAAAAGCAAAGAGAGAGAAGCUAGGAAAGGAGGCCUACUUGAUCCUGGGUUAUUUGAGGGAAAGGGUUUUGAGCAGGGUGAGGGUCCUGAACACGCACACAGCAGUGCCCACUCCUGGCGGAGCCGCGGCAGAGGCUUUUAACUCAUUUCCCAGUACUGUACACGUGAGGGCUCCCCAAGGAACAAGGGUGGGCAUGCAAGACACACUAUCAGCAACCAGCCCAGCAAAGCCAGGAGAGGAGGAGCCCUUCAGAUCUUGCUUCCCCGCCUUCUGUUCUGGUCCCCACCAGGCCUGUUCCAGUUCAGGUCUUACUUCCCCCUCCCCGGGCAAGCAGGCCCCAUUAAACAGAGCAGCACCAGCUUCCUGGAAACAAGCAACUUCCUCUUCAGCAGAGGGCUGGCAGCAUCUAGUCCAAGUUUUUAUUUUAUGAGGUAAAACUGUAUAGCCCCAAACCAGUAACACAGAGCAGAACUACAGAACAGUUUCCAGGAUGAAACACGCUGUCAUUUCCCUCAACCCAAACAUAGAAUCAAA